GACGAACGCUGGCGGCGUGCUUAACACAUGCAAGUCGAACGGAAAGGCCCUGCUUGCCGGGUACUCGAGUGGCGAACGGGUGAGUAACACGUGGGUGAUCUUCCCUGCACUCCGGGAUAAGCCUGGGAAACUGGGUCUAAUAUCGGAUAGGAGCCAUUUUUCGUGUGAUGGUUGGAAAGUUUUUUCGGUGUAGGAUGAGCUCGCGGCCUAUCAGCUUGUUGGUGGGGUAAUGGCCUACCAAGGCGGCGACGGGUAGCCGGCCUGAGAGGGUGGACGGCCAAAUUGGGACUGAGAUACGGCCCAGACUCCCACGGGAGGCAACAGGGGGGAAUAUUGCACAAUGGGCGCAAGCCGGAUGCAAGCACGCCGCUUGGGGGAUGACGGCCUUCGGGUUUGAAACUCCUUUCGCUAGGGACGAAGCUUUUUGUGACGGUACCUAGAUAAGAAGCACCGGCUAACUACGUG
rnacentral:rRNA from 1 species